rnacentral:lncRNA from 1 species
AUGGCCUCGCGAGGAGCUGCGCCGAGAUCUUCCCAGCCCCGAUGCAGACAGAUCCCUUUCAGGGCUGGAAAAAAGCCAGCCCCGGCCCUAGGAGAGAAAAGGGGCUGCGUGAUCCCACCCCCCCCCCCCCGAACGCUUUGGGUUCCCCUUCCCACAGCGAUGGGGCACAGGGCCAGCAGGACCGGGGGGGCUGCGGGAGGCACAGCCCGCCCUCGGGCUCACCUUGACUCCUUGAGCCGCUCCCCAGCCCAACCCACCCCCGCGGCGAGGGCAUCUCCUCCGGGGCCGCUCCUCCUCCAUCCCCUCUCCCUCCAUCCCCCGCACCCCAACCCCUCGGGCCCCCCCCCCCCCACUCUCACCUGUACGAGCUCGGGCUCCGCUCCCCGCAGCCUCCGCCGCUCCGCGCUGUGCCGCAGCGCCGCCGCCGCUCCCCCCCCCUGCGGACAAAGGGGCGAUGCCCGCGGCGGGGCCGAGCGCCCGCAGCCCCCGGUGCUCACGGAGGGACCGCGGGGGGAGGAGAGCGGGUGGCGGCCGGUGCUCAGUGCCACACCCCGAGCUGAGCGCUGCCCCCGCGGAUCCCCAGCCGGGAUGCGCUCCCCAUCCCUCUGUAGGGCUGGGCUGGGCUGGGCCGGGGCGGGCGGUGGAGACGCAGGCGAGGGGCGGGGGGGGCCGGUUCCGUGCCGUUAUCCGCUCCCGUAUUGGUGCCCCGGGCCCAUCCGUGCCCCCCAACGCCGGCGCUGUCCCCGCUGCCUCCGUGUGUCGGGACGGUGGGACUGGCUGCCCGGGCUGCGCUGUCAGGCGGCGAAAAACGCUCUUAAAGGAACCAGCUCUAUUUCCUCUCCCCACUCUUCUCUGCCUGUAAGGCAGAAGGCCCCGAGCACCUCCCGGUUGCAAAGCUUGGGGGUUGGCAAUCCCUGUGCUUCAUUCCCACCACAGCACCCCUGGCACAGCAGGGGGAGCCCACUCCCACUGCCCCCUCACCCCACAGCCCACUCCCAAGGCUCACCGAGCAAUGCACUGAGCUGCCAUUGCAUUGCAUUGCAUUGCAUUACAUUGCACUGCAUCCCCAGCAGCCUCCACCGCAGGGCACAAGCUGGAUGCGAGGAGGGCAGAGCACUGCUCAGAAAGCUCACAGCAAGCACCAAGGGCCAGGGGGCACAGCUGCCCCCCCCAAGGGUCCUGGUAGGAGCGUGCUCCCCUCCCAGCUUGCCCCCAGCACACGCUCCCCUGCACGCUGUCCCCGUGCCGUGCCUGGCUCCCUCCUCGCUGUCGCUCACACCUCUCACCCACCACGGCACUUAA